rnacentral:rRNA from 1 species
AAUCAACGCUGGCGGCGUGCCUCAGACAUGCAAGUCGAACGAUUAAAGCUCUCUUCGGAGAGUGCAUAGAGUGGCGCACGGGUGAGUAACACGUAAGUAAUCUACCCUCGAGUGGGGAAUAACAACCGGAAACGGUUGCUAAUACCGCAUAAUGCAGCGGCACCGCAAGGUGACAGUUGUUAAAGAUUUAUCGCUUGAGGAGGAGCUUGCGGCAGAUUAGCUUGUUGGUAAGGUAACGGCUUACCAAGGCUACGAUCUGUAACCGGUCUAAGAGGACGGUCGGUCACACUGACACUGAAUAACGGGUCAGACUCCUACGGGAGGCAGCAGUCGGGAAUUUUGGGCAAUGGGCGAAAGCCUGACCC